CCUACGGGAGGCAGCAGUGAGGAAUAUUGGUCAAUGGACGAGAGUCUGAACCAGCCAUGCCGCGUGCAGGAAGACGGCUCUAUGAGUUGUAAACUGCUUUUGUACAAGAGUAAACCUGGGUACGUGUAUUCUACUGAACGUACUGUACUGAUAAGGAUCGGCUAACUCCGUGCCAGCAGCCGCGGUAAUACGGAGGAUCCGAGCGUUAUCCGGAUUUAUUGGGUUUAAAGGGUGUGUAGGCGGAUUGAUAAGUUAGAGGUGAAAUGUCCGAGCUUAACUCGGGAACUGCCUCUAAUACUGGUGAUCUAGAGAGUAGAUGCGGUAGGCGGAAUGUAUGGUGUAGCGGUGAAAUGCUUAGAGAUCAUACAGAACACCGAUUGCGAAGGCAGCUUACUAAUCUAUAUCUGACGUUGAGGCACGAAAGCGUGGGGAGCAAACAGGAUUAGAUACCCUUGUAGUC
rnacentral:rRNA from 1 species